UUCCCAAUUUCCCUUCUCUCCUCCACUCUGUCCUCAUUCUCCCCUCAUAUCACCUAAUUCCUCUAUCCCCAAACUCCUACAUUCUCCCUCUCUUACUCUCCUCUCUGUCCCUUCCCUCCCUUCUCUGUACCUUUCCACUCCCGUGUCAUCCUCUCGCCAGGUGGGUCGGCACAGCAUCCAGGUGGACAAGGUGAACAGCACGCAGUGGCACAUGAAUCUGACGCUGGCGAGGGUGGGGCCGCGGGACUACGGGAGCUACCGGUGCCGAGCCAAUAACAGCGAGGGAACGGCAGAGGCCAGCAUCCGAGUGUUCCGCAAGCAAACCACUACCACUUCUACUACUACUACUACUACUACUACUACCACUACCGCAACCACCACUACCACCACCGCCCCCUCGCCCAUCACCACCAGGAACAGGAAUGACAUCCUUCACUUCCCUGGUAUAGACAUGAACGGGACAGGAUAUGGGGUGAGAGAGACUGGGAGAGGAGGAAGGAGGAGGAAAGAAGAAGAGGAGAGGAGAAAGACGCAGCAAGAGUUGAAGAAGGAGGAGGAGGAGGAGGAGGCGUGGAGGAGAAAACAGUUUGAGAGGAAGACUUACUCCUUCAGUAGCUCAGGCAAGUCUUCGUCAUCAUCAUCAUCAUCAUCAUCAUCAUCGUCAUCAUCAUCAGUACAUCAUUAUAGCUCUUUCUUCCCUCUAUUACUGUUAUUCCUCCUCCUCCUCCUCUCCCUUCCUCCUCUUCCUCCCCAUCAUCAUCAUCUUCUACCAUCUUCCUCCUCCUCUUCCUCCUCUUCUUUGCAUUUAGUGUCUUCUUUUGCUCUCCCUCUCUCUCUCUUCCUCCCUCCGGCCACAAGGAGAAACAGACUGUGUGGAUGAGAGAGGUGAGAGAGGAAGAGAGAAGAGGAAGAAGAAGAACAAGAACAAGAAGAACAAGAACAAGAACAAGAAUAAUAAGAAAACAAAACGAAAAAGAAGAAGAAGAAGAAGAAGAGAAAGAAGAAGAAGAAGAAGAAGAAGAAGAAGAAGAAGAAGAAGAAGAAGAAGAAGAAGAAGAGGAAGGAAAGGAAAAGAAGAAGAAGAGAAGAGGAGAAGCAGUUAAAGACCUCGGGGAAAAUGAAAGAGAAAAUGGGAAAUACCUGAUGGAAGAAAACGGAAGAAAGCGUGAAUUUAACAAAGAAAACGUAAAAAAAUAAGACCAGGGAAGAAGAUUGAAAGAAAAAUAAGAUAAUUCGUGGAAGUAAGAAAUCGAGAAUAGAAUAAGAUAGAAA